CCUCAAAAAAAAAAAAAACUCCCCCGUCUCGUCCUGCACCGAUGUGCAGCCACUCCGGCGGGCGGCGGCGUUGCACGGCGACUCCAGCGGCUCCGGAGGCGCGGAGUCCCCAGCCACCAGGAAGCAACCGCAGGAGGCUCGGCUACUCCGGCACUACAGGCGCCGCUAUUGCCCCAGCAGCACGGGCCCGGCGGCGAAUCUGGCAAGCACGUGUGCCGCACCUCCGGCGACUAGUGUUCCUGUCCGACCAAACGGAUGAUGAGGCUCCCUCUGACUGGAAGUCCAGAAUGUGGACGAGAAGAAUUGAGCCUGAAGCAGUCGGCUCCAAAAGGACUCCCUCUGACUGGAUGUCCAGAAUGUGGAAGAGAAUGGUGAAGCAGUCAGCGACAUCUCUGAAUCCGGGCAAAUAUUCAGUGGAAUGCCCAAGGAAUGGCAAGGAUAUGAAGGUGAAAGACUGGCGUUUCUUCAUGUGGCUGGACAAGUACUUGGACAUGGUCGAGGAAAUUUGGAUGAUAAAUGUGCUCAUCAUGGGCAAUGCAUCUGCUCGCUGCGUGUCACGAGAAAUUCAGCGACGUAUUGAUGCUACGAGGGCUGAAAAUGAUGCUACAAGAGCCUAAAUUGAUGCUACAAGAGCUCAAAUUGAUGCUAUUAGGGUUGAGACUGCAGCACUGGAUCAACGCAUCGAGAAGUUGGCCGCCCAAAAUGCAAAGCUUCAGCUUUGUGUUCCAGGAGACCACUGAAUUGUAGCAGAGAGAUGAGAGAUUAAACCUGUCUUCAUGUUCAUGUUUCCUUCAACCGGCUGCUACCACUACAUCUCCUGUGUUGGAUGUCACGUGGAGUUGUUUUGAAGAAAACUGGACUAAAAGCCAGUUCAACUGGGUUAGGGAUGGGGGUGAUUUUGGGUUUAGCGAGUUUGAGGUUGUGACAACUCAAGUA